AAAAUCUAGAAAUGUAAAGAAGUUUUCUACUGGUACAGCUCAAGAAAAAAGAUUUGAAUGUCUCUAUAUUUAUAGAACUAUUGUGUCAAACAUAUCCAUAAAAUCAUCCAAGUCAAUUAAAUUUUGAUUCAAGUUUGCUGGCAGGAGCUUGUUAUGUUUUCUUGCGAGAUGGUGGGGGGGUCUGCUUCCCUCACAUCAUAGUUAGUUUUCUUUGUUUUUCUGGUCAGAUUUCUGCAAAGGUAUGAAAUUUUGGAGUUUCAUAUUAUUAGGUUAAUCAGGCAGUAUCUAAUGUUGGCAGACAUGAUUUCGUAGCAUAGGACCGUACCCUGAUCAAGUAUUUCAUAUUGAAGUGAUUGAUCUUGCACAAUCAAUUUUGAAGUGGCUAAACCUAGUAAUUUAUGGAAGCUACUAAGAGCUAGCAAUAUUCCGACUGGUUGAUUUUCAGAGCUUUCUUUUUGUUUGAACUAAUUGUCUGGGAUGGCUGGGUUGUCUGAUUCUUUUAGAUGAGCCACUUGAGAAUUGAAGAUGUUAUUGAUGUUUACUGUUAAAUCACUGUGGAAGACUAAAGACAUUAUUAUACAAGGAAUUAGUUUUUCUCCCCUUUUUCCUGGUACUUAUAAGCAGUUAAAAAUGCAUUCUGCUUUUCUGAAAACCAUAUUAUCAAUUGUGUUAAAAACACUUUUAAAUGAGAUAACUGUUUGACAUCUGUUUUUAAAAUAUUGUUGAUUUGUGCUGUCUUUUGUUAUACUCAGAGAGUCUCAUUCUUGGUUAAAUACUAAUUGUGUACAUAGAAAAUUUUCAGUGGAAAUGUUAGCUUGGUCUGUUGCUUGACACAAAUUUUUCUUAUCUGAUGCUUUAAACCAUUUGCUCUACCGGCAUAAAUAAGAUACUGAAUCUUUUAUGCUUACAUGCAGAUGCCUACAACAAUUGAGGAAU
rnacentral:misc_RNA from 1 species